AUUGAACGCUGGCGGCAGGCUUAACACAUGCAAGUCGAGCGGAGACUUCGGUCUUAGCGGCGAACGGGUGAGGAAUGCCUGGGAAUCUGCCUGUUAGUGGGGGAUAACGUUCCGAAAGGAACGCUAAUACCGCAUACGUCCUACGGGAGAAAGCAGGGGACCUUCGGGCCUUGCGCUAACAGAUGAGCCCAGGUCGGAUUAGCUAGUUGGUGGGGUAAAGGCUCACCAAGGCGACGAUCCGUAGCUGGUCUGAGAGGAUGAUCAGCCACACUGGAACUGAGACACGGUCCAGACUCCUACGGGAGGCAGCAGUGGGGAAUAUUGGACAAUGGGCGGAAAGACCUGAUCCAGCCAUGCCGCGUGUGUGAAG
rnacentral:rRNA from 1 species